CACAUACUCCCUCCGUCCGAAAAUACUUGUCAUCAAAAUGGAUCAAAAUGGAUGUAUUUAGAUCUAGAUACAUCUAGAUACAUUCAUUUCAAUGACAAGUAUUUCCGGACGGAGGGACUUGAGG
rfam:Triticum aestivum genome assembly, contig: Triticum_aestivum_CS42_TGACv1_scaffold_307487_4AS